AAGCUGUGAAGUAUUAGGGUGUACCGGAAUGCACUAUUAUACAGAGCUUUCAGGAAGGGUUGUGCAGUGUUACCUCAAACCGGAGUAGAUAUUUUAUCUUAGUCGAAAGAAAAUGCACUAA
rnacentral:sRNA from 25 species